GAUGAACGCUGGCGGCGUGCCUAAUACAUGCAAGUCGAGCGAACCACUUCGGUGGUGAGCGGCGAACGGGUGAGUAACACGUAGGUGAUCUGCCCAUCAGACGGGGACAACGAUUGGAAACGAUCGCUAAUACCGGAUAGGACGAAAGUUUAAAGGUGCUUCUGGCACCGCUGAUGGAUGAGCCUGCGGCGCAUUAGCUAGUUGGUAGGGUAAAGGCCUACCAAGGCGGCGAUGCGUAGCCGACCUGAGAGGGUGAACGGCCACACUGGGACUGAGACACGGCCCAGACUCCUACGGGAGGCAGCAGUAGGGAAUCUUCGGCAAUGGGCGAAAGCCUGACCGAGCAACGCCGCGUGAAUGAUGAAGGCCUUCGGGUUGUAAGAUUCUGUUAUAAGGGAAGAACGACUUUAGUAGGAAAUGGCUAGAGUGUGACGGUACCUUAUGAGAAAGCCACGGCUAACUACGUGCCAGCAGCCGCCGUAACAC
rnacentral:rRNA from 1 species